AAAAAUUAAUAAGUGCGGGGAAGAGGGGAAAACAAACCAAUAUUGGCGUUGUCGAUAACCUACCGAGCGGAAACCCUUCGUCGUCACCUGUUGUUCAGUGUUCACUUUCUCCAACACAUUAAUGAUGGCGGAAGUAGUACACUACAAGCUCCAGCGCAUAGUCAAUGGGCGCCAUGGCUUAUUCUCUCGCCGUGGAAAUGCCGAUAUGGUCAAACAACACUGAAAGUCCCCUGAAACAUGAUUACUUAACGCAUAUCGACUACGAGAAAUCUCUCGAUGUGCUCCUUCUCCUCCGUAAGAAAUGGAUGAACCAGAGAGAUCUUCAACAACUUUGAACAUGUUUAGUAUUCAUCUACUGCCUUAGACCUAUCUUUUCGGCAUCUAGGGAUUACAGUUCAUCUUCUCCUCCUAUUCAAUAGCAUUUGCACUACAGUUGUUCGAUGAAAUGCUUACAUGAACUGGGAGUGCAUUUCUACUGUGGGUCUGCAUCUCGUUGGACUUAUUGCACAUAUAGUUCGCCCCUUCAAGUUGCUUCUUAAAGUUUCCUGAAUGAUUGAUUGUACUUGAGUAUAUCUAUCUCUUUCUGUUCAUAAUUGGUGAUCUCUUUCUCUCUCUCUCAUAUUUUUUUUGAAAACUGUGAAUUCCAAGGGUUGUAUUAACCUCUUGUUGCACUCCUCUAUAAGCAUACCAUUACCAUUACCUUCUUCAGGUUUUCUCAGACACAUAUCAAUAUUUUUUGUGAAUGAAUUGAUGUAGAUCUUCGAGAUAAGGCCUCUUUUGUUGCUGUCAGAUCAACAUUGAGUUUGGCAUUUUGAUAGGAAAGUUUUGUUACUUAUGCAGCUAAGUUUCUGAGCUUAAUUGCUGCAGCUACAGUCAGCUCAUUUGCAUAUGAACCUUCAUCUGCUAACCUUCUUAAUUCCCUGGUGAAAAUUUAGGAACUUUGAUAAGAGCAUUUAAAGCCUCCUUCUUGGCUUUCUUUGAUGGGAUGUCCUCAUAUUUGAUGCCUAAAUGGGUAUUACGAUACAUAUAUUCUUUUUCUUCAUCGAUUUGAAUCCAGAUGUCCACCAGGCAACUGUAUAUGGACUUGGAGUGUGCAGAGUAUGGUGGUUCUAUUAACAACCAUAAAACCACUAGUUGGUGUUGGAGAGGCUCUCUCGAGGCUAAAUGUUGUAAUAAGACACUAUAAGGCUCUUCAUCCUAAGAAUGUGAUUGCAUAUGAUGAUGCGGUUUCUGAUUUGGGGAAAAUAUGUUAUUUUCAUUGCGAUAGUAUCGAAUUAGCAGAUGAAGAUUAUUCCUAUAUGGUUAAGCUUUUUUCUGAUUAAAGGAAAGUUGUCCAUGAGCUACUUUGUUCAAUGGCCGAAAGGUCAGACACUGCAUCUCCCUGAAAUUGUAUUUGUUGAGAUUUACAUACAUGAUAUAAGGUUGAUGAUGUGAAGUUAUGGAUGAGCUCAAGUUGAUUUUAGAGAAUUCUGACCUUGACUUUGACUUGACUAAUGAAAGAAAAGUCUGCAUUGAUGGAGAGGUGAUUUUGAACCUACAAAUACGUUGACAAAACAGCUAAUUUAUCAAACAAUCAGAUAAUCAACUACAAAUGUGAUACCCCUCAGAUAAACAAUCAGUUACUCUAUAUAUCCCGAUUUAGUGGCGGAUGUAUUCUUCUUCCUAAUUGACGAAUCAAUUUGUAAAUGGUUAAAUACAAGAAUUAUCAACCAAAAUCAGUGACGACUUUUUAUGGUCACUAUUUAGAUAAUAUAGUGACGACUUUUUAUGGUCACUAUUUAGAUAAAAUAGUGACGACUUUUUAUGGUCAUUAUUUGUAUAAAUCAGUGACGACUUUUUAUGGUCACUAAUUAGAUAAAAUAGUGACGACUUUCAUUGAUUAGUGACAACAUUAAGUGACGAAACGGGUCGUCACAGAUUAGUGACCAAUAUAUUCUAGUCACUAUUUAGUGACCACCUAUAUAUUUUGGUCACUAAAUCAGUUUUGUGACGGACCUAUAGUGACGAAAAGUGACGACCAUAAUUUUGGUCACUAAAUCAAUUUGUGACAACUCUUUCUAUUGUUAGUGACCAAUUCGUUUUCGUCACUAAUUGACACUUUUUUUGUAGUGUCGGAUGCAUGUAAUUUAUGUAUUGUAUUUGGUUUGAACAAUUACAGAAAACUUUUUUUAAUUAUAUCAUCAGAAAAUAAUAAAACUAUCAGAAUAGAUUAUAUGCU